AUAAAUAUAAAGUGUUUUAGGCAGCGCUGCGUGGUGUUCUGGAUGGAUCUUGACUGCCAUCGUGUGGUCAUGUUUAGGAAGUGCACCUUCCCCCCAUCAUUGUUGUUUAAAGCCGCAGAUUAUAAAUCUAUAUUCCUGCUGAGUGUGUGUUUAUGACCUGCAUGUUGAGUUGCUUUUAAACCUUCUACAUAAGCACCAUUUCCGGCCUCUGUGAGUCCCAGGUGAUGAUCUCCUUUUAUUUUCAGAUUCUUACUGAGGUGCUGUUUUCCACAUGCAGUGCUUGGCUGUGUUGGAGGUCACCAAGAAAGACUUCCUGGCUGUCAUGUGGAAGCUAAGUGGGCUGGGGUCAAAAGGGUUUCUGGCCAUGGUGCUUGUGCUGCAGUGAUCUUGUUCUCCAUCACACUCCAACACAGGUAGCCAUCUUCACCCUCUCCCAAGAGGUGAAGAGUCAAGACUCACAGGGGACAAGGUGGGGGGACACCCAGGACAGGGUGCCAACCCAUUGCAGGGCACAAUUGCACACAUUUUUUAGAGAUGCCAAUCGGCCUAUGACACAUGUCCUUGGACUGCGGGAGGAAACCAGAGUACCGGAUGAAACCCCCUGAAGCACGAUGAGAACUACGAUGCACGGCAGAGGCAG
ensembl:lncRNA